rnacentral:lncRNA from 1 species
GACGGUGACUCCAACGGUUGGCUGAGGACGAUUCCCUGAGCCUUGACAAAGCAGGAGCCCUCCGUGGCGGUGCGUCGGUGUCGAGGCUCCAGUCUGACUAAUCCAGGGGGUCGACAAAACAGAUUCGGGACACUAUGCUACACGGAGGGCCUACCAGGAUGCAGAAACAGCAGACGGAGUCCAGGGAAAGCAGUGCGGCAUCCCAGCCUCAGGCCUGCCCGUACGGUGUUCGGCAAGACAAAUCUCUCCUCUGCCUUCUCCUUAUCAGACUACUCAACAUGAAGGCAAUAAGAAUGAAGACCUCUAUGUAUAAUAAUUGACUUCCACUUAAUAAAUACCUGAACAGAUGUUGAGUACAAGCUGAUCCACCUACGUUCAACCUGAGAGAGUCCACAUCCACAGACUGUUUCAUUUCCCUUUUUCAAUUUACAUAGAAGCAUAGAUUCUUGCUGGCAUAUACAAAUGCGCCAUUUAAGGCAAUCAAAAAUGGUUCCACAUCUCAUCUGAUUUCCACAAUUGUUGCUGUAACGAUGGACUACUGAGGAGAGAGACAAUUUCUCUGGCACAUCUUCCCACAUUUUAGCAACAUGUUCAUGGAGAGCCAAUAUUCAGUAAUUACAGCCCAAUUCCUCACAAUUUCACAAUUCGCUAACAAUAUGCAUUUUCACAAUGUAAAGCUGAUUUUCCUUUAACCAAAUCAAACAUGAAAAGAUAGCUGCAUGCAAUGGGCAAUCUAGAUCAUUAGAAGAUUGAUGUAAAAUUAGAGGACACUGAGACUGGAAUAGAUUGCAAACUUCAGGGAGCUCAGAAAACUUGUAAACUCUACAUUUUGAGGAAAUAUGUUGUCGAUGCUUUUGCAACUCUAUGCAGUAACUUAACAAAUAAAGCCUUAAAGUAACUUA